GUACAGUGUCUACUAUGGGGAAACCUGUGAGAAAACUCUAGGGCUGGAGCACUGCUACGCGCCGCUACAGUGGUUACAGUUGGAGCACUAGCACAGUUCAGCACUAGCAUAUUUCCUGACAGCAAAGCCACUGUAGCGCUAAAGCGGCCAGUGCUCAGCCUGGCCGGCUUGCAGAGUUUUCGUACAUGUGUGCAUGUAUUACCAGGGACGAAACAGGACAGCAGAGACAAGCUCUUGUCGCUGAUUACCUGCGCCCUUAUCGUCCUACGUUCGUAGUGUGGGCGCGCUAUACGUACUAUGGGAACAGUUGAUUGAGGUAAGGUUAUGGCAGAAACUUGAGAAUAGCACUCGCCAAGUUACGCGGGUGAUGUUCCAAAAUGGCACAAAAACGUCUGACUUCGUCAUCCCUACGUCUGUGAGUUGGUUCCCAGGCCAGCCAUCAUGGCACCAUUUUCAAGGCCUAGGCCCUCUAAAUUCUGGUGAAAGGGUUUCAGCCAUUUGGCUUUAACACGAUGCGAAUCUUUGGCUGAAGCCGAACACUAUUUACCAUCAUGGUGGAAGGCGACUGACAUCAUUACAAUGGGAAAAUCAACUCCAAAAAGCCACCCGAAGAGCAUGAAGCAUGUGUUCAACUAAGCAGCCUGCUUAGCUUCUAGACAUUGAAGCGAAGGUGAAGGAGACUUCACUUUUUUCCAGUGCAUGUGUACGAAUAAGCCUUUCACUUCUUCCUACUGGCUUCACUUAUAUCCUUUCAACUUGGUGCUGAUUUAUGGACGACCUGCAGAGCAUGGCAUGAGCCAAUCGUAUUGUCAUGUGCUUAGGAGGCCAGGCGCAGUCUUUAUUGCUGCAGCAUGUUGGGCUGUGACCUGAUGACUUUGUCCCAAAAAAUCAAUGAUUAAGUGUCUGCGAGUCAAGAGCUAUACAAAAGUAGCACUGACUGCAACAGAAACGAGAAGCGAAAUGGUGGAGACCAACGAUGCAGUUGAUCUUGGGACUCUUACAAGGGGUGGCUGGAAUCAUGCCACUUUUCUAAACAAACACGUUACUGCCUGGCCGCUGCACUUUAAAGGGACACUAAUGAGAAAGAUCAUUUGACCUGCAUUAGUGUAAAUUGUCCUUUUACAACACCAAAAACACUACUCUUACCGCAAGAAGAUGCUCGUUUCUUGGAGGCUCUGUGUUCUUCCUCUGCUGUUCUCCCUAAAAGUUCAGUGUGAAGUUUUGAAUACUCGAUGCCUGAAGUCAGCUUGUUCAUGAUCUAUAUAAGAAAAUACAGGCAUACGACAAGCAACAUGUGGAUCUGUCUAGAUUACGUAAACAUGCACUGGAAGUACUGCAGACUUCGCUAUAAACAGGACGACUUACCGUUUCAUUGCCAUUGCCCCAGUUGCAGCAUCAAGCGUUCUACUCGGACAUUCAAAUUAAGUGCGAAAAUUCCCAUGACUCUACAGCAGGGGCCAACGACAACGGCAUAUGUGCGAAUUUAGUGCCAACUGUGCUGCCAGAUGAGGGUGCCAUCACAAGCGAAGCCAGCGAGCGCUCACGCCGUAACAAGUGCAUAUAUUCUUGUCCAUAUUGCCCUUACGUUGCACGGAGUUCGCACUUGACUGCACACAUGCGUGUCCAUACUGGUGAGAAACCAUUCAAAUGCAACGUCUGUUCAGCUUGCUUCACCACGAAAUCAAACCUGUCACGGCACGUGAGGGCUCAACUAUGCGGAAAGCCAUUUCCAUGAUCCGUCUGCAACUAGCGGUUCAACACCAAGUGCACAAGAAGUGAUUAGCUUGAUGUGUUCCAACUCCCUGAAAGAAGGUGGACUGUGCUGGGUGGCAGCAAGGCCUGUUCACACAGCCAUCAACUGCGAGUGUGCUUGAACAGCAAAGAAGGCUCAAGUUUAGAACAAGCAUUUCAGUCAUAUGUUCGUGGAGUGGUUGUGUAAUAGCAUGAGAUUAUAAAAAGUAUCUGUCAAAGACGCUCACCAAUAGACUGUUUAUUAGAAAACCACUUAUGUGCAGAAGUGUGGUGCUUCAAGCUGUGCUGUGAGGACACCUUUGGUUGCAGUGCAAUGUUUUACUGUGCCAGGCAGUUUUAAAGUAGGAAACAGUCGCUGUUUCUGUAAUUUGGUGAGUCCGUUGCGCUCGUUGGUGUUUGGAUGCGCUGGCGCAGAUGUCACUUAAGUUGCAGCAGUUUGGAACUCCAGUUUGUGGGAAGAGCUAGUGUGGAUAUGUUUUUCCAUGUGGUGAUGUUGAUGCCAAUUUCGAAAUGCAUCACUUAUACAGUUCUGUGUACACAUGCAUCAGAGAUAAAAAGUUCAUGUUUGCCACAGCCAAGGUCUUUUUCGUUGGCUCGCCGACACUGAUAAAAAGCAUGCUGUUCUACUGUGAGGAAAUGGUUGAAAGCAUAUUGAAAGAGUUGCACUGAAAAAUUCUCAGAACCUCUGAAUGAAGGCUGAGAAAUAAAGCAAAGAUUUCAAAGUGUG